CACCGCGGUUAUACGAGAGACCCGAGUAGACAGGCCUCGGCGUAAAGCGUGGUUAAUAGAAACUCCCCACUAAAGUUAAACACCUUCCUGGCUGUCAUACGCACCUGAAGAAAGGAAGCCUAACAACGAAAGUAGCUUUAUAAUAAUGAACCCACGAAAGCCAGGGCA
rnacentral:rRNA from 1 species